rnacentral:piRNA from 1 species
UCUCUUAGGAUAUGCUACAUGAUGUUGCC